CACGCUUCCUCUAGCACAACCACAGCUAUGCACCAAUCCUCCUGGGUUCAGAGAUGGAACUUGGGUUAAAUGCAUGGAAUUUAUUCUUAGUCCUUUUCUUAAUUACGACUUUUUAUUUCUCUGGUGUUCUCUAGGGGAGGGGUUAGAGAAGAGAGGAAAAGGAAGAAAGAAAGGGGGCAGGGAAAUAUAGAUUCAAUGCUUUUGUUUUGUUUCUGGGCUGCUUGCUAUCAGCAAAGUAGAGAGAUUUAACGGAUCUUGCCGAGAAUGCAAGCCUCAUUCCAAGGAAGCCAGAGCUCAGAAGACAUGGAACAAAUACAAUGAAAACAUAACUUGAGGUCGGAAAAUGUCCCCUGAAUAUUUAUGUCAAUGUCCUACCUUAGUGAAUAUUACUUAAUACUGUGGCUCCUUUAAAGCAUUGUGAUUUCAUUAUGAAGUCAGAUGGAAUGAGGAGUGUGUAAAUCCAGAAUCAGAAUCCCAGCGACGAAGCUUUUCUUGCUCUGUUACCUUGGAAAAUGCUUUGAACCAGACCAGAUAAGAAAAGUAAAAGUCUGGAGUGUAAUCCUUCCAAUUGUCUUUUGGCUUCUCUUCUACUUCUACAAAAAGUUCAACAAAAAUUAGAAUUUGAAACAACGGAAAGAGAGAAAUUUUAGGUUAGUAGCUAAAUCCCCAAGGAUACUAAUUAGAGAAAGAUGUUGGAAUUGCCUUAAUGAGUCACUGCCAACGCAAGUCCUAAGGAAGCAAAGACUGUGAGUAAGCAAAGGUAGCCAGCUGCUGGGAAGAGGACAAUAGAGGAAAAGGUCAGAGGGACUUUAAAAGACUGACUGUGGGCUCCCUGAGGGAAGGAGGGAUGGAGAGAGUAUCGGGUCCUAUAGAAUACCUUAAUUGUUUUUAUGACUUCUCUUUUCCAUAUCCAGUUCACAUGUACUCCUUUCUGUGCAUUAAAUUGAGUUUCUAUUGGCUUCUUUGUAACAAAAAGAACUGAACAGAAACACAUAUCUAUUGGACAAAGAGCAAUAAAAUGAUAUAAUAACUGUAUCUGAGGGUUUUUUCAUUUUAAAGAAUAAAACAAAACAAAAAUCAAACAAAAAAAACCAUCUAUCUGAUGUUGCUCCACUCCCAACAGCAUCACUAACCGGUAUGUACCCAGCUUCAGCUAAAUAUCCCUAAAACACCUCUUACUUUCCAAGGCAAAGUCUCCCACUGUUGAGUCGUGUUGACUGAUAAAAAGUUCCCUCUGGGGUAAAAAAAUGAAAUUAGUUUUACCUAUCCUGGGGUCACCUCCAAAUACAUAUGCCUGUAAUGUAUUUCAAUUAGAAUACAUUACACACUCCCUGUCACCUUCACUAGGAGAAAAUCAGCAAAGUCAACCAGCAUUUUUAGUUGUCACAACUAAAAGGUACUCCUAGCAUCUGGUAGGCGGAGGCCAGGGAUGCUGCUAAACAUCCUACAAUGGACAGGACAGCCUCUCACAACAAAGAAUUUCCAGCCCAAAAUGUCAACUUUGCCAAAGUAGAAAAGCCCUGUACUAAAGGAGACCUUCCAUAUAAUAGACGGAACCCCCUCUUAGAAGAGAGGCCUUAGAAAUGCUAUGGUUUUGGAGCUUUUCUAUUGAGCCCCUCAUAUUUUCCAUCAACAGCAAGGCCCAGGUAUUAAUUAUAUGGUCUUAUUCUGUGACCUGGUUUGUCAUUCCUGAAAUAGCUAAAAGUAAAACAGAUGUCAUUUCAAUAUCAAGAAGCAGUGGAACAGAAAGUGCCAAGGAGCAGGUGUAUCAGAUACUCAGAGGUGGUAAAGUCAUGGCUGUCCAUGCUUUGGAGCUAGGGCAUCUACAAUGCAAAGGAAGAUUUUAAAUGUGAAUUUUGUGUUCUGGUCUAUGAGUAGAUGAUUCACGACACUAGUUUGAAAAUGCCUGAGUAAUAACUUGACUUUGUUUCUGCACUGGACAUCUGUUGUUUUUGUUCACUGGCAUCACUUCCCUUUUCUUUUUUUCUUUCUUUUUUUUUUUCUUUUUUUUUUUUUUUUUUUUUUUUGAGACACAGUCUUGCUCUGUCCCCCAGGCUGGAGUGCAAUGGCAUGAUCUCGGCUCACUGCAACCUCCACCUCCCAGGUUCUAGCGAUUCUCCUGCCUCAGCCUCCUGAGUAGCUGGGAAUGCAUGCGCAUGCCACCACGUCUGGCCAAUUUUAUUUUAACUAGAGACAGGGUUUCAUCAUGUUGGCCAAGCUGGUCUCGAACUCCCGACCUCAGGUGAUUCCUCUGCCUCAGCCUCCCAAAGUGCUGGGAUUACAGGCAUGAGCCACCAUUCCCGGCUCCCUUCCCUUUUCUUAUGGGAACAGCAUUGAAUUUUCCUUUGAGAAAAUACCUCUCCCUAUAGGGGUAGUUCCUACAAAGUUUCGAUGGAAUUAUGUCAGAGGCUCUUAUACUUUCACACCAUGGCUUGGCAAGUAUCUCAAUCUAGGCCAAUCAGUCUUUGUUUCCUUAGGAUAUACAUCUUGAGUGAAGUAAUGCGUGAAUGGGAAACAUUUAAAGCUGAUUCAUGUGAAUUGGGAUAGUUCCUGAACAGAAUGCCUACGGUUCUUUCUAU
rnacentral:lncRNA from 1 species